GAGAGAUCUUCAGAAGAUCUAAGAGAUCUAACCUGUAUUGGUUUCAUGGGGAAUUCUUUGUUAUUUACAUUAUAUAUGUACACCUUCUUAAUUCAUCCUCAUAAGAAGAAGCCUGUAGAUGUGAUUCUUGCCCUCUUAACUUUGGCUAAUGCCCUGAUAUUCAUAUUCAGAGGGAUUCCAAAUAUAAUGUCAUCCUUUGGAAUUAGGCUGGAGAUGGGCGAUACUGGAUGUGGAAUAGUGAUCUAUAUUCAGAGAGUUACCUGGAGUAUUUCUCUGCAUAACUGCCCUCCGGAGUACAUUUCAGGCAGUGACUAUUACUCCAAAGUAAUCCUAAAUGGGCCUGUCUCAAACACAGAAUCUCUGCAUUCAUUCAACCCUCUUUACUUUGCUUCUGGAUGAUCCACAUGGCCCUCUAUUCUGUGGUCAUUUUACAAACUGUGGCCAACAGGAAUACCACUGGUGAUGGACUUGGGUGUUAUAGUGCUUAUUGUAAAAACAAGGCAUUUGAGGGGCGCCUGGGUGGCUCAGUCGUUAAGCGUCUGCCUUCGGCUCAGGUUAUGAUCCCAGGGUCCUGGGAUCAAGCCCCGCGUCGGGCUCCCUGCUCAGCGGGAAGCCUGCUUCUCCCUCUCCCACUCCCCCUGCUUGUGUUUCCUCUCUCGCUGUGUCUCUCUCUGUCAAAUAAAUAAAUAAAAUCUUAAAAAAAAAACAAAACAAAAAACAAGGCAUUUGAUAGCCAGAUAGUGCCAAUAUUUCUAAGUACAGUAUUCAUUCAAGAUUUGUUCUUUCUCUUCCUGAUGACAUGUAAUAGUAUCUACAUGGUGAAUAUCCUUUACGGACACCACAAAACAGCUCAGAAUGCUCACAGUGCCAUCCAGGUUCCAUCACACUCUCUUGAAAACAAAGCUACCCAUGUUAGCUAUUCUCAUACUAGUGAGCUGCUUUGUCUUCUUUUCUGGACCGACACCUUUCUUAGUGUUUAUUUAUUUUAUACAAGUAAGAAAAAGCAGCAACUGGAGAAAUUUAGUAACUUUUUUUCAUCAUGUUACCCAACCAUCUGUUCUUUCCUUCUAAUUAAAAAUGAAAAUAGAAUUUCCAGAAUAAAUUUCAUGAAAACAAGAAUCAGAAUUUUCUCUUCUUAAAGAAAAUUCACUGCUCAUAGGAACACUUCUUAGCAUUCUGCUACACCAAGGAGUCAUUUUUUUUAAAGAUUUUAUUUAUUUAUUUGAGAGAAAGAAUGAGAGAGAGAGCAUGAGAGGGGUGAGGGUCAGAGGGAGAAGCAGACUCCCCGCUGAGCAGGUAGCCCGAUGCGGGACUCGAUCCCGGGACUCCAGGAUCAUGACCUGAGCCGAAGGCAGUCGCUUAACCAACUGAGCCACCCAGGCGCCCACCAAGGAGUCAUUUGUAUGAAUAUAGAUAAUACGCGUAUCAACGACAUGAGUUAUAUUUAUAGUCCCCAUUGAACUAACAAUCCAAAGAGCUAUAAUCAAGUUAUUGUCAAUUUAUGAAACAUUUUAGACAUUAAAUGUAAGGUUUAGAUGAUGAUGUCAUGUAUAUGUUUUAAAAUUUUAUAAAUAACACAUAUGUAAUGUAGAAUGUUUUGUAACAUAGGAAACAGUAUUUGUCAUAUAAUUACAGAAAUCAUAAACCCCCCCAAAGGAUAGUGGUUACUUUUGGUGUAAGGUAACCCUAACCCUAAGCGAUGUGAUGAAAUAUGUGUGUUUAUUAAAUUGUGCUCUAUACUUUUGUAUGUCAGAAUUAUGUCAUACUGAGUUUCUAAAAAUAAACAGAAUUAUUAAUAUUUGAAAAUAAAUUCAGAAAUCAAAUUUGCAAUAAUUUUUUUACCUACAUUUAGAUAAAGAAGGAACACUAAAAAAUAAACAAGAUCUCAAAACACCUAGAAGAUUAUUGUCCUGAGAACUGUUGAACAUAUCAGUGACUUGAGGUUUGAAUUGAGGAUUGAAAGAAGAAGGGGGCAUAAGGUCCACACCCAAGAACUAGGUAUCUCCCACGAGCAGAGAAAAUAAGACCGCUUGUCACAAUUACACGUUAUUACAAAGGGCUACAUGCUCAGCUUAUGCCAUAGUAGAAUAGUGCAGAUCAGAUGGUUCUGGUACAUGGUUAGGUAAUAAGGUGUCGAGUCAGGUUUGGGCUUAGGGUCAGGGUCUGGGGUUAGGGGUUUGGGGUCAGGGUCAGGGUUAAGUUUAAACAUAACUGGUCCUCUUCCCUUCCUCCAUCUCCCUGGGCCUCCAGGGUGGACAGGACUUGCCCAGGGUUACACAUGAGUCCAGGAUUGAGCUGAAGCAUUGGUUUUCUGCCUUCAGUCCUGGGCUCUAAUAGAAGAGUGAAAUGUCUCCCUGGUCACCGACUGUUUCAAAUCCAACCCAACCCCAGUCAAGGGUUGUGGAGGGUGUCGGAGGUCAUGUAUUGUUCUUUCCACUUUCCCACCAGGGAAGAGUGCUGCUGGCUCCAUUCUGCCUGGGCAGCUCCAGGUGCCAGCACAGCCCUGACCUGUGAGGGCACUCAGUAGACACAUGUGGAUUUAUACAGGACCAGGUGCAGGGGCCCAGCAGUCCCCAUGCGCACCCUUCUUGCAGACUGGUGGGGCCUUCCUGGCACCGUUCACUUGGAGGCACCACAGUUUGCUUAUGGAUUCAUCUAUUGAAGGACACCCUGAUUUCUUCAAUUUUUUAGCUAUGAUGAAUAGAGCUACUGUGCAUCAUUGCAUGCUAGUUUUUGUGUGGAAACAGUGUGUAUCCCCAGCAUGAAGAAGUGUUCCUGUCAUUCCUCACCCUUCAGCAACUGGUAUCCUCAUUUUCUGGACUUUAGCAUUUCUAAUCGGUGGGCUGCACUAACUCACUUUUGUUUAAAUUGGUAACUUCCUAAUGAUAGAGGAUGUAGAGCGUAUUUUUGUAUGCUUAUUUAUUAUCUGUACAUCAUUUUGGCCAGGUGUCUGUGCAGAUAUUUGCCCAUUGUGAAUUAGGUUAUUUGUGUUCUUACUGUUGAGUUCUGAGAGUUUUUUGUCUAGUUUGAAUACAGAUCCUUUAUCAGAUGUGUGUGUUGCAAAUAUUUUCUCACAGUUUGUGGAUUGUCUUUUAGUUCUCCGAGCAAGGUCUUUCACAGAGUAGAAGUUUUAACUUUAUAAAGUUCACAUUAUCAAUUUGUUUCUUUUCUGGAUCGGUGUUUGGUGUUGUGUGUUAACACUCAUCAGCAAACUCAAGGUCAUGUAGAUUUUCUUUUAUGUUUUCUUUUUGAUAUUUUGAUAGCUGUGUUUCUUAAAUUUAUGUACAAUUUUGAGUGAAUUUUGGUGGAAGUUGUAAAGGUUUUGUCUACAUUUCAUUUCAUAUCUUAUGGUUUCCAAUUCAUUGUUCCUUAAUUAUUCCUGGAGAAACCGGGGUAAUGUAGUCCAUUUCAGUUGGAAAUUUCCAAGGUUUUAUUGGGUUCAGCUGGAUCUGGGAAGGGGCCAGGUGCGUCUCGGGAACUGAGUGCCCCGCCUCCUGCACGGCCUCCUGCACGGCCUGCGCCGCCCGCAGGGGGCGCCCGAGCUCAGCUCCCUGACCCGGGCAGGGCAUGCGCGCUCAGCCUGCCUUGUCUGCCUGCGGAACUGGAGCCGCCCCCAGUGUGGACAGUCCGAGAGAAAAUGGUGCCGCGACCACGCCACAGGACCCCGGCCUCCUCAGUACGCUCUGUGGACAUUACCCGAGGACAUGGGGCCGCGGCCACGCCGCCGGGACCCGCCGCGGAGAAUUGGGGAGGACGCGGGGCCGCGGCCACGCCGCCGGGACGCGCUUGGAGGACGUAGGCCCUUAUCCACACCGACAGGAGCCCGGCCUCCUCGGGACCGCACGUGGGAGAAGGAGCAGGAUCUGUGGACUCCAGGGGUGAUGUGAGAAACCUCAGAAGCCUCCCUUGUCCGUGUUUCCCUCUUCUGUCCUGGUGCUCCAUUCUUUCCUAAGGCCUUGUCACCCGGACCAGAGCAGUGAAUCUGUAACCUCUUCCAAAGGGAGACCCGGAGGCUGCAACAAGGAGGGUCUUGGCCUUGGUUCCCAGACUAGUGGUCAGUGCUCUGCCACGUUCUGCGUACCCAGGUCCUCAGCCCCCCAAGCCCCCAGUCUGUCCCCUGCUCAGAAGGACCUCGAGGGAGUACAAAGCAUUUUCCCAGGACUGGGAGCACAGUGGGUCGGGGAUGGAGAUCCAAGGCCAACAGGCUCUUCCACAAGCCGGUGGGACCCUAGGGACACUGCAUCUCUACAGCCCAAGUGACAGAAGAGUAAGCUGAGGCCUUUGUGCUGUAGCCCCUCUGGACUUGGGGGUGGGUAUCUCUUCCUGCUUCCAAGUGCCCAGGCUGGUGAUGGACACCGGAACCCAGACCCUGUCCUCUCCCAGUGCCCUGGCAACCCCCCUGGGCCCCUUGGGGACCCCUGACCCUCAGCCUGGCCUGUCUCCCCUCCCCAUGCUAUGGAUCUGGGUCCUUGCCAGGAGUCCUGAUGCCCUGCCCCAUGGCCCAGCUGUCUCCAACCUCAUUCUUUCUCCCUUGUGACCCACCUCGCUCCCAGGGUGUCCUCCCCUUCUGACCCCCAGCUGGGCAGUCAGAGUGGUGUGUGUGUGUGUGUGGGGGUGUGUGUGUGGGGGGUGGGUGUGCAGGUGCACAUGCCUCUACGUGCCUGGGGAUGCCAAGGUCAUGUCCCCACAUGGGACGGGGUGGGUAGCUCUUCCUGAGGAUCUGAGGGGCUCUCACCCCCAAAGCGAACCUCAUGGGAGGGUUGGGACUGGCCUAGGACUGGAGAGCAGCUCCUUGGACUCUGCACCCCUCAGUUGUCCUGGGCCAGUCCCUGCCUCUCUUGACCCAGGUUCCCAACUGUCCCUGAGGGUCGGACAUGGAAAGGCUUGAACGUGGCUGCUCUUCCAGGGGUAGGUGGGGGACAGGUGCACCAGGCACGCAGGCCUCCCCACCGAGAGGGCCAGCCAGGUGUGUCAUGGCCAGGUGUGCACAGACGACCUGCCCUCAGCUCCUGUACCAUGACCCAGCCCUGCGGCAGAUGUGCACGAGACCCAUGGCUCCGCACCUGACCGGUCCCCCGCGUUCCCUCACCACCUCGGAGACAAGGGCUCUUCUUCGUCCUAGGGCCCGUCAUCCUUCGGACAAUGAGAGCAGAGGGAUCCGUAUCUAGAGGAGGCCGGCAGGGCGUCCCACGGAACGUUGUGUGCCCAUCUCUGCUUUGUCGUCUAGGCUUACCGGCGGACCCCCACCUAGAAAGAGGCCCGCGGGGCAGGGACAUUUGUCUGCCCUGUUCCCUGAAUUAUGGAAAAUGUCUAGAAGGGGCUUCCUGUCCAUUUGUGGAGUCAAUGAAGCCCAGCCAGCACCUUUCAGAUGUCUGAGUGGCUCUGGGGCCCCUCUGCCAGCCCCCAGGGAUCCCUGCUCUGGCUCCACCCAGGAUGGGAGCCCCAGAUGGAAUCUGAAACCUCCUCACAGCCAGGAAUGCGGCUUUGCCCCGGACACAGGACACCGAGGCUUGGGGCAGAGAGCUCCUUCACGGUGGAGAGGAACCGCCUCAGCCCCAGGCCACCCUCCCCGUGGGCCGGCCACAGGGUCGGGGAGCGGUCCCACCAGGCCCAACGGCAACCCCGUGUGUGGGGCCUGGCCUCGUGGCACACAGGGUCCCCAGGAGACACCUGAGGUUCGGAGAGGGGACGUGCCAGGCCCGAGACACACAGCCCGCAGGUGAGGGGGAGCCUCCGGGCGGGACGGGGGGCCCUGCUCACCUUUGUGAGCAGCAGGUGUGGGAAGGGCUGAGGAGGCGUUCCUCUGGGAGGUGCUCCGGGAGAGGGGCCACAGGAGAGGGCCUGGCCCGGCUCCACCAGCUUCCUCAGGCUGUCAGCACGGACCGCCCACAGCCUCUGGCUCGCCCCCAGCGGCAGGGCCCACUCAGGUUCACGGUGGGGCUGAUCUUUGGAUAAAGGAGGGACAAUUCACAACACAGAAACUGCAAAACUAUUCCUGUCCGUGUCCUGAAGUGCAACAGAAUAUCCAAAUUGGUUCGGAUCAUCGUC